rnacentral:misc_RNA from 1 species
AAUAUGCCAUUUGGCUAAAUCUUAACGCUUCCUUAUUUGACGAGAAAAUGAAAUACUAAUUCCAAAAUCAAAAGGAAAAGGCAUCUUGUGGGCAAAUCCAUAAUAAAAAUAAUGUGAAAGGUGCAUAUUGUCAGAUAUGGGAAAAAUUGGGGCAUAUAAUUAAAAAAAAAAAAUAAUGUUAAGCUAAAACUAAAAACUCAAUACUUAAUUAGAUUGCUUGCAAAUUG